AUCUGUAUGGAGUUGUGGUUAGUGCGCUCGGCUAUAGACCCGGGUGACGCGGGUUCGAUUCCCCCUACCAGAUG
rnacentral:tRNA from 1 species